GACAUAGGUGGCAAACGUUAUCCGGAAUUAUUGGGCGUAAAGGGUGCGUAGGUGGGCUAGUAAGUCCGUGGUGAAAUCUCCAAGCUUAACUUGGAAACUGCCGUGGAUACUAUUAGUCUUGAAUAUUGUGGAGGUAAGCGGAAUAUGUCAUGUAGCGGUGAAAUGCUUAGAUAUGACAUAGAACACCGAUAGCGAAGGCAGCUUGCUACACAAUCAUUGACACUGAGGCACGAAAGCGUGGGGAUCAAACAGG
rnacentral:rRNA from 1 species